UGGGGGAUAUUGCACAAUGGGCGCAAGCCUGAUGCAGCGACGCCGCGUGGGGGAUGAAGGCCUUCGGGUUGUAAACUUCUUUUGCUCUGAACAAGGCGCACUUUGGGGUGUGUUGAGUGUAGGGGUUGAUUAGCGCCGGCUAACUACGUGCCAGCAGCCGCGGUAAUACGUAGGGCGCGAGCGUUGUCCGGAAUUAUUGGGCGUAAAGGGCUUGUAGGUGGCGGGUUGAGUCUGUCGUGAAAGCUCAUGGCUUAACUGUGGGUUUGCGGUGGGUACGGGCUGGCUUGAGUGCAGUAGGGGAGGCUGGAAUUCCUGGUGUAGCGGUGGAAUGCGCAGAUAUCAGGAGGAAUACCGGUGGCGAAGGCGGGUCUCUGGGCUGUUACUGACACUGAGGAGCCAAAGCAUGGGGAGCGAACAGG
rnacentral:rRNA from 1 species